GUGCCAGCAGCCGCGGUAAUACCGGCAGCCCGAGUGAUGGCCGAUCUUAUUGGGCCUAAAGCGCCCGUAGCUGGCUGCGCAAGUCCGUCGGGAAAUCCACUCGCCCAACGAGUGGGCGUCCGGCGGAAACUGUACGGCUUGGGGCCAGAAGACCUGAGGGGUACGUCCGGGGUAGGAGUGAAAUCCCGUAAUCCUGGACGGACCACCGGUGGCGAAAGCGCCUCAGGAAGAUGGACCCGACGGUGAGGGACGAAAGCUAGGGUCUCGAACCGGAUUAGAAACCCUGGUAGUCC
rnacentral:rRNA from 1 species